rnacentral:antisense_RNA from 1 species
CUUCACCGAGCCGAUCCACAACGGACGGUCCGCCGACGUCUGCGUGCCGUAAGUGGCCAGCAGCGCCUGGACUUC